GCAACCACCACCGUGUUUGGAUUAUUAAUUAGUAGCAUUCUAAGUACAUUGUGAAGUGCACUAGACUAGAGUUAUAUGGCUUCUAAGAGGUAUUCACUUUUCUUGGUGGUUUUCUUUCUUUCUAUGUUGAGUGUGCUGAGUUUCUCAGCUAAGGCAACAAGUAACAUUGAUGCUCAUCCAGCUCUUCAAGCAGAUGAAAUGAGUCAGAGUAGGAGACUCCUGCAGAGAUCUCCAUGUCGUAGGGGAAGGAUGACAUUUGAUGUGGGUCGAGAGGCUGUGGGCCGAGAUGAUUCGUCAAGCGAUAAUCCUCGAUGCCACAAUUAUUUAUGAUAUGAAUAUUGUUGUUUUCUAAUUGUAAGGAUGAAGAUCAGAAAAUUAAAAGGAAAUCAAUAAAUGGCCCUGUUUGUUGGUUUA